rnacentral:sRNA from 1 species
UGGAUUUGUGCAUUCGACGGUCGAAGCGU